AACGCGAAGAACCUUACCAGCUCUUGACAUGUCACGUAUGGGUACCGGAGACGGUAUCCUUCAGUUCGGCUGGCGUGAACACAGGUGCUGCAUGGCUGUCGUCAGCUCGUGUCGUGAGAUGUUGGGUUAAGUCCCGCAACGAGCGCAACCCUCGCCCUUAGUUGCCAUCAUUCAGUUGGGCACUCUAGGGGGACUGCCGGUGAUAAGCCGAGAGGAAGGUGGGGAUGACGUCAAGUCCUCAUGGCCCUUACGGGCUGGGCUACACACAUGCUACAAUGGCGGUGACAAUGGGCAGCGAAAGGGCGACCUGGAGCUAAUCUCAAAAAACCGUCUCAGUUCGGAUUGCACUCUGCAACUCGAGUGCAUGAAGUUGGAAUCGCUAGUAAUCGUGGAUCAGCAUGCCACGGUGAAUACGUUCCCGGGCCUUGUACACACCGCUACAGU
rnacentral:rRNA from 1 species